GUCGUCAGUGCUAGGAACCUGCGCCCGGCUGAGCUGAGCGAGGCGAGAGGAGAAAGCGAGGCCCGGGGACGGGACUGAGAGCUCUGAAAGGAGGGAGGCGGCUCCCGAGUACUCCGCGCGGGGCAGGCCCCGGCCUCGCCUCUUCGCCCAUUUUUAAGGCUCGAGUUAGAGGCCACCUCCUCCGAGAAGCCUUCGGUGACACCACCUCUCCCAGACGGUUCCCCUUUCUGAUUCCCACAGCAUUUUCCAACCAUUCACGGGACCGCCACCAUCACAGGCACUCGGUAGAUGUCUGCUGAAUGAGGAUAACUUCUACCCAACACCGUGAAGCCUGGCCCAGGGUCUGGCAUACAGAUGCCGUGUUUGUAAGUCUGUCCUCCUGUCUUUCCAUCCUGCUCCUGUUCCCACCGGCUCUGUCCUCUCCCUCAGAUGUCCAGCCACCACCUCAAUGUCAGCCGAAGCCCAGUGUCUCUCCAAAGCUCUUGAUCUCCAUUUCUGUCAGCGAUACCAUCAUUUCCCAGUCACUCCGUCCAGAAAGGUUGCUGCUACUUUGUGCUCCAGGGUCACUCUUCUCACUGCCCUCUAAGUAUCAGCAAAUCUACAGCCUGGAUCCCUCAACAGCUUGCCCAUGAUCCCCAUCUCUGCCCUGUAACGUGGUCCCCAUUCCAUGCAUGCCUGAACAUGCGUGACCCUGCUGCUCCGUGGCUCAUGUCCUUAUCUCCUGCAUACAUCAUUGUCUAUACCACGCCCCACCCCUGCCUCAAUCUCUCACACUACUGAAGGUACAGUGUAAUCUUGGUCUUCCACCUUGAAAACCUAUGCUGACCAUUCUCUCGAGGCUGAGUUAGUCAUCCAUACCAUUCUUUGGGCAUUCAUAAUCUAUCAUUUGGUAUUGUUAGUGAUCUUUUUAGAGAUUCAACCAGAGCUUGCAAGUUAAUUGAAAACAGGUUACUAUGCUCACAUGUCCCACAUUUCUGGAACAAUUCAGAAUUCAAAUAUUUUGCUCUACUGCUUCAUAUAACAAAUAAAAAUGACCCAAAA
rnacentral:lncRNA from 1 species